AAGCGGUGGAGCAUGUGGUUAAUUCGAAGCAACGCGAAGAACCUUACCAGGCCUUGACAUGCAGAGAACUUCAGAGAUGGAUUGGUGCCUUCGGGAACUCUGACACAGGUGCUGCAUGGCUGUCGUCAGCUCGUGUCGUGAGAUGUUGGGUUAAGUCCCGUAACGAGCGCAACCCUUGUCCUUAGUUACCAGCAGUUCGGCUGGGCACUCUAAAGGGACUGCCGGUGUUAAACCGGAGGAAGGUGGGGAUGACGUCAAGUCCUCAUGGCCUUUAUGACCAGGGCUACACACGUACUACAAUGGCCGAUACAAAGGGCAGCGACACUGCGAGGUGAAGCCAAUCCCAUAAAACCGAUCGUAGUCCGGAUCGCAGUCUGCAACUCGACUGCGUGAAGUCGGAAUCGCUAGUAAUCGUGAAUCAGAAUGUCACGGUGAAUACGUUCCCGGGCCUU
rnacentral:rRNA from 1 species